GACGAACGCUGGCGGCGUGCUUAACACAUGCCAGUCGAACGGAAAGGCCCUGCUUUUGUGGGGUGCUCGAGUGGCGAACGGGUGAGUAACACGUGAGUAACCUGCCCUUGACUUUGGGAUAACUUCAGGAAACUGGGGCUAAUACCGGAUAGGAGCUCCUGCUGCAUGGUGGGGGUUGGAAAGUUUCGGCGGUUGGGGAUGGACUGGCGGCUUAUCAGCUUGUUGGUGGGGUAGUUGCUUACCAAGGCUUUGACGGGUAGCCGGCCUGGGAGGGUGGCCGGCCACAUUGGGACUGAGAUACGGCGCAGACUCCUACGGGAGGCAGCAGUGGGGAAUAUUGCACAAUGGGCGGAAGCCUGAUGCAGCAACGCCGCGUGCGGGAUGACGGCCUUCGGGUUGUAAACCGCUUUCGCCUGUGACGAAGCGUGAGUGACGGUAAUGGGUAAAGAAGCACCGGCUAACUACGUG
rnacentral:rRNA from 1 species